rnacentral:rRNA from 1 species
GACGAACGCUGGCGGCGUGCCUAAUACAUGCAAGUAGAACGCUGAAGAGAGGAGCUUGCUCUUCUUGGAUGAGUUGCGAACGGGUGAGUAACGCGUAGGUAACCUGCCUUGUAGCGGGGGAUAACUAUUGGAAACGAUAGCUAAUACCGCAUAACAAUGGAUGACACAUGUCAUUUAUUUGAAAGGGGCAAUUGCUCCACUACAAGAUGGACCUGCGUUGUAUUAGCUAGUAGGUGAGGUAAUGGCUCACCUAGGCGACGAUACAUAGCCGACCUGAGAGGGUGAUCGGCCACACUGGGACUGAGACACGGCCCAGACUCCUACGGGAGGCAGCAGUAGGGAAUCUUCGGCAAUGGGGGCAACCCUGACCGAGCAACGCCGCGUGAGUGAAGAAGGGUGUCGGAUCGUAAAGCUCUGUUGUAAGUCAAGAACGGGUGUGAGAGUGGAAAGUUCACACUGUGACGGUAGCUUACCAGAAAGGGACGGCUAACUACAUG